rnacentral:rRNA from 1 species
AGUGAACGCUGGCGGUAGGCCUAACACAUGCAAGUCGAACGGCAGCACAGUAAGAGCUUGCUCUUACGGGUGGCGAGUGGCGUACGGGUGAGGAAUACAUCGGAAUCUACUUUUUCGUGGGGGAUAACGUAGGGAAACUUACGCUAAUACCGCAUACGACCUACGGGUGAAAGCAGGGGAUCUUCGGACCUUGCGCGAUUGAAUGAGCCGAUGUCGGAUUAGCUAGUUGGCGGGGUAAAGGCCCACCAAGGCGACGAUCCGUAGCUGGUCUGAGAGGAUGAUCAGCCACACUGGAACCGAGACACGGUCCAGACUCCUACGGGAGGCAGCAGUGGGGAAUAUUGGACAAUGGGCGCAAGCCUGAUCCAGCCAUACCGCGUGGGUGAAGAAGGCCUUCGGGUUGUAAAGCCCUUUUGUUGGGAAAGAAAAGCAGCAGGUUAAUACCCCGCUGUUCUGACGGUACCCAAAGAAUAAGCACCGGCUAACUUCGUG